rnacentral:rRNA from 1 species
GAUGAACGCUGGCGGCGUGCCUAAUACAUGCAAGUCGAGCGAACAGACGAGGAGCUUGCUCCUCUGACGUUAGCGGCGGACGGGUGAGUAACACGUGGAUAACCUACCUAUAAGACUGGGAUAACUUCGGGAAACCGGAGCCAAUACCGGAUAAUAUAUUCAACCGCAUGGUUCAAUAGUGAAAGACGGUUUUGCUGUCACUUAUAGAUGGAUCCGCGCCGCAUUAGCUAGUUGGUAAGGUAACGGCUUACCAAGGCAACGAUGCGUAGCCGACCUGAGAGGGUGAUCGGCCACACUGGAACUGAGACACGGUCCAGACUCCUACGGGAGGCAGCAGUAGGGAAUCUUGCGCAAAGGGCGAAAGCCUGAUGCAGCAACGCCGCGUGAGUGAUGAAGGUCUUCGGAUCGUAAAACUCUGUUAUUAGGGAAGAACAAAUGUGUAAGUAACUAUGCACGUCUUGACGGUACCUAAUCAGAAAGCCACGGCUAACUACGUG